UCCACACCACUUACUGAAAAU
rnacentral:piRNA from 1 species